ensembl:rRNA 5S_rRNA 5S ribosomal RNA
GCCUACGACCAUAUCACCCUGAAUGCGCCCGAUCUCGUCUGAUCUCGGAAGCUAAGCAUGGUCGAGCCUGAUUAGUACUUGGAUGGGAGACUGCCUGGGAAUAGCAGGUGUUGUAGGAU